rnacentral:lncRNA from 1 species
CAAACUUUUAGAGAUUUACAAUUGAGAGCAUCCUGUCGGGCUGUAUCACCGCCUGGUACGGCAACAGCACCACCUGCAACCGCAGGUCUUUCUAGAGGGUGGUGCGGUCUGCCCAACGCAUCACCGUGGGUACACUGCCUGCCCUCCAGGACAUCAACAGCACCCGGUGUCACAUGAACGCCAAAAAGAUCAUCAAGGACAUCAACCACCCGAGCCAUGGCCUGUUCACCCUGCUAACAUCCAGAAGGUGAGACUCUGGAAGAACCUUAAACUGGCUUUAAAAGAGAGAAUGCAGAGAUCAGAAGAGAGCGAUUAACUACUGGUGGUGGACCACCAAAAAAAGACAUGACUGAUGAAUUGAGCGACUUGCUGUCUGGAGUAAUAGAGCACCAGCAACCUCUGGAUGGUAUACCAGAUGAUGACCAACCUCUGGAUGGUAUACCAGAUGAUGACCAACCUCUGGAUGGUAUACCAGACGAUGACUAUUUGGACAGUUCAGAUGAAGAACUGAGCACAAAUGAGGAAAGCAAUCUGAACAGGUUGGAAGAGCCAGUGCAGUGAGUGUGUACCCUCCAACCAUGUGUAUGUGACAAAUACAUUUGAUUUGAUUUGAUCUGCUAUAGCAUCCCUGAGAGAAGAUGCUGCCACCACCUUUCAGCAGAGAACAAAAAAGAUGACCAUGCAUUAAAAGUUAACCAGAGAAUUUCAUGAGCAUGAAAUGAAAUAUCUGAAGGAAGAACAUGAAAUGAAAAUAAGAAUUCUACAGGUUGUAUUGGAUAUGAAGUUGGAAGAGAAAAAAAAGAUACAGUAAUGAGACAAUUGUGAUUACCAGCCAUGGUGAACAAUUUGAUAUGUAAAAAAUAAAUGUUUUGUCAUUUGGAUAUUCAUGAGUGAGAGUAUUUUAAUCACCACAAACUACAUUUUAAACCAGCCUUGGUUUAGCCACUCAUUUAAUUUUGCUGCACACUAUUUUAAUUUUGUACAGAACCAACAUUAUCAAAGCAAAAAUAAGCUAUAAUGAAUACAUAACAUAUUUAAAUGUAUCUCAUCUAGUUGAAGUGCUG